UACGUAGGGGGCUAGCGUUGUCCGGAUUUAUUGGGCGUAAAGCGCUCGCAGGUGGUUUGUCGCGUCGUGCGUGAAAGACCCCGGCUCAACUGGGGAGGGUCGUGCGAUACGGGCGAACUGGAGGCCAGUAGGGGGAUGCGGAAUUCCGGGUGUAGUGGUGGAAUGCGUAGAGAUCCGGAGGAACACCAGUAGCGAAGGCGGCUCGCUGGGCCAUUCCUGACGCUGAGACGCGAAAGCUAGGGGAGCGAACAGG
rnacentral:rRNA from 1 species